rnacentral:miRNA from 3 species
GGAAUGUUGUCUGGUUGGAGA